rnacentral:rRNA from 1 species
UACGUAGGGGGCAAGCGUUGGUCCGGAUUUAUUGGGCGUAAAGAGCGUGUAGGCGGCCAUGUAGGUCCGUUGUGAAACUCGAGGCUCAACCUCGAGACGUCGAUGGAAACCAUCUAGCUAGAGUCCGGAAGAGGAGAGUGGAAUUCCUGGUGUAGCGGUGAAAAUGCGCAGAUAUCAGGAAGAACACCCGUGGCUAAGGCGGC